rnacentral:rRNA from 1 species
UACGUAGGGGGCUAGCGUUGUCCGGAAUCAUUGGGCGUAAAGCGCGUGUAGGCGGCCCGAUAAGUCCGCUGUGAAAGUCCAGGGCUCAACCCUGGGAUGCCGGUGGAUACUGUCGGGCUCGAGUCCGGAAGAGGCGAGUGGAAUUCCUGGUGUAGCGGUGAAAUGCGCAGAUAUCAGGAAGAACACCCGUGGCGAAGGCGGCUCUCUGGAACGCAACUGACGCUGAGACGCGAAAGCGUGGGGAGCAAACAGG